rnacentral:tRNA from 1 species
ACCUCACUGGCUCAGGUGGUAGAGCAUGGGACUCUUGAUCUUGGGGUCAUGAGUUCGAGCCCCAUGCUGGGUG